rnacentral:rRNA from 1 species
GAUGAACGCUGUCUACAGGCUUAACACAUGCAAGUCGAGGGGAAACGCCGGGGAAGCUUGCUUCCCCGGGCGUCGACCGGCGCACGGGUGAGUAAUGCGUAUCCAACCUGCCUCUGACUGAGGGAUAACCCGUCGAAAGUCGGCCUAAUACCUCAUGGCAUCGUCUGCGGGCAUCCAACGACGAUUAAAGAUUUCAUCGGUCAGGGAUGGGGAUGCGUCUGAUUAGCUUGUUGGCGGGGUAACGGCCCACCAAGGCUACGAUCAGUAGGGGUUCUGAGAGGAAGGUCCCCCACAUUGGAACUGAGACACGGUCCAAACUCCUACGGGAGGCAGCAGUGAGGAAGAUUGGUCAAUGGGCGGGAGCCUGAACCAGCCAAGUAGCGUGCAGGAUGACGGCCCUAUGGGUUGUAAACUGCUUUUAUGCGGGGAUAAAGUGAGGGACGUGUCCUUCAUUGCAGGUACCGCAUGAAUAAGGACCGGCUAAUUCCGUG